GUGGGGAAUAUUGGACAAUGGGCGAAAGCCUGAUCCAGCCAUGCCGCGUGUGUGAAGAAGGUCUUCGGAUUGUAAAGCACUUUAAGUUGGGAGGAAGGGCAGUAAGUUAAUACCUUGCUGUUUUGACGUUACCGACAGAAUAAGCACCGGCUAACUUCGUGCCAGCAGCCGCGGUAAUACGAAGGGUGCAAGCGUUAAUCGGAAUUACUGGGCGUAAAGCGCGCGUAGGUGGUUUUGUAAGUUGGAGGUGAAAUCCCCGGGCUCAACGUGGGAACUGCCACCAAAACUGCAUGACUAGAGUACGGUAGAGGGUAGUGGAAUUUCCUGUGUAGCGGUGAAAUGCGUAGAUAUAGGAAGGAACACCAGUGGCGAAGGCGACUACCUGGACUGAUACUGACACUGAGGUGCGAAAGCGUAGGGAGCAAACAGGAUUAGAUACCCGAGUAGUCC
rnacentral:rRNA from 1 species